rnacentral:rRNA from 1 species
GACGGAGGGUGCUAGCGUUGUUCGGAAUUACUGGGCGUAAAGGGCGCGUAGGUGGCCAGGUAAGUCGGGUGUGAAAGCCCGGGGCUCAACCCCGGAACGGCACCCGAGACUGCGUGGCUCGAGACCGGAAGAGGUGAGUGGAAUACCCAGUGUAGAGGUGAAAUUCGUAGAUAUUGGGUGGAACACCGGUGGCGAAAGCGGCUCACUGGCCCGGUUCUGACGCUGAGGCGCGAAAGCGUGGGGAGCAAACAGG